CCUUCACCUUCCCCUUCUUCACAAAGAGGCAUUUGCAGUUUGUCUGAUGAGGGGAUGAACCUCAUGGCCACAACAGCUGUGCUGCACCGUGGUAGCAGCCUCCCCAGAGCCUCCUCUAGCACCAGCCUGCUCCCCACCCACCCAGCUUGCUCCUCACUCACCCAGCCUGCUCCUCACCCAGGCACCCUUUCUCCUCAGCCAGCCUUCCCCCCUCCUUUUCUUUCUUUCCCCACAGUCCAAGUUAACCUCCCUGGAGCUGAUGGAGGCCAGGUGCUUGUUGGGGCAACCAGGGAGUUUUGUACUAGGACUAGCCCUGCCAUCCAGUCAGUAGUAAUUAAAAGUAUCAAGAGGUUUAGGAAGUAGCCAAUCUAUUGAAAGCCAAAAGCUGGAAGAUAAGCAGCUGUCCUGUUUCUUAUGCUGUCUUUCCUUAGGCUCUGCUCUCGGCUGAUGGAGACAAUAACUAUCCAGACCUUCAGGUCUAACCUGCCUUGGUGCCUUUCCCACCUGUCUUAUGAAUGCAGUGUGCACAGUACCCAUUACUAAAUACUGCAUUCUAUAACAUGGGCACCAAACAUACAGAAUCUGUCCCCCAGGCUGGGAAUACAUUUGUCACUGUGAACCAAUUGCCAUUUCACAGUGGCACCAUGGAGGAGGAUGACAAGGAAUCAAGAGUUAAGGAGCAAAAGAAAAAUGUUUGAAGCAAGUUUCAACAGUUAUGACGACAAGGAAAAAGAAUUGAUGAUAUGGGUGCCCAUCACCUGGGAAGGAACACCCUUACCCCAUGAGCCGAUGCGAACACAGACCCCAGUGCCCUCACACCUUUCCCUUCCAGAUUCUGAUCCUACUUGUCUUUUUAAGGUAUUCUUUCUUGUAUUGCUUCUUUUGGUAAAAUGACUUUGGUCCCAGCUUGGUUCUGCAGCUAGUAGCAGAAUCAGUUUCAUUUUGUGAGGAAAGAAAAUGAUGGAAGCUCUGCAGCUGCUGGCAACACCACAAGAACACUGUCAGCAUCCAGGAACUUUCUUUUGCCCUUUGGCUGCCCACCUCAGAGUUAUAGGAUCGCACUUGCUAUUCAGAAGUAGAUUAAGCCUUCCUGGAAAUUAAUAGGUUUAACUGAGCACAAAUGACUUUGAAUCUGCCUUGUCCACCACAUCCCACAACCUGGGUCCUUUUGCCAGCCUUCCAGCCACUGAUCGCCUAGGUCAAAGCAGCUCCAGGGAAUGCUUAAUCCUGCUCUGGACAUGAGGGGCCUAUUUUCUCUUGGAAUUGAGUUUGAAGAGUUUGAACGAGCAGAAUGGACAACAAAUUAGGAAUGUAUCCUAGAGGAGUGUCUAACACAUUUGUUGCCUUCAUUUAACCAAAUGAUCGAGGAAUGACUGGAGCAUACAAAAUUCAGAAACCUUCUACACCUAAACAGGUAAGAUAGAUUUGAUGCCAAACUUUGGGUCAUGUUCCUUACAUCUUUAUGUCAUACUCAGAUUGUCUGACAUUUCUCCUUGUCACUUUGUUUUUUAAUCAUGUAAGAGUUUAGUUGACACAGGUGUAUACUGUAUCUUAGUUCAAUAUGUAAAUCCUGCAGCUUGAUGAAUUUGCUCACUACUGAACAACUCUUUGGAUAGCAUUGCCUAGAGGAAAGUGACAGAGUAUCAUAAGGCCAGCCAGCAGAAAAGAAGCGGAUCUGCUUUUCUAAGAAUACAACAAAUAAAGAUUUUUCCCUUACAAACAGCAAUGAAUACAUGUAGUGCUGUUCCAGCUGCAAGGAAUAGUGCCAUGGUCACAGAUUGCAUUUCUUCUGCCUCACUCACAUCUCAUCUCAUCUUAUCUCAUCUCCAAGAGAUCCAAUUUACAGGAGAUGAGAUAAAGUAGCCUCCAGGGUAUUACAUACAUCCCUUUCAUAAAUCAAGAACCACUUUUUGUUACUAGAGACCUGAGUUCAGAAAUAGAGGGAAACACAUGGCAUUAGGCAUUGUAAAUGGCCAAUUGGCAUGUCUCUGCAAUAGCUCUUUGCAGCUUUUGGCUGUUCCUCAAACCAGAAAGUAACUAUUUUUGUAUUGUGUAUUCUGAUGAAUCAAUACAGAAAAACUAAAAAAGUCGGUGAUUUCUGACUGAGAACUCAGAACUUUCUCCCCAGACACUAAAAUACAGCAUCAUUCCCUUUUAUAAUUGUUUUUUUUCCCCUAUGGCUACAGAAGAUACGCUCUGAUGGAUUAGCAGUAGACCGUGUAUGAUCCUUGCCACUGAUGUGGGUAGGGUUUUGCUGGUCACUCCUAAUCUUUCAGGAUCCUGCUGUUCUCCCACUUGCCAGUGGAGACAAUGUCUGUAGGUAGAUAAUUAGGCUCACACAAGUGGUUGAGGGAGGUUUAGUUAAUGCUGCUAAUUUGUGAUUGCUUAAUGGAAGUGCUGAGUAGGAGCAGUGGUUUACCAGCAGGACAGGGCCUUGCCAUUUGCCCUCGUGAAUGCACUCAGAGGUGGUACAGAAAUGUGCAACAAGGUGGAAGUCAAUCGUGUCCUCUGCAGGUAUUCCAUAAUAAUGCAUUUCCUGGCCAUGGAAAGUUGGGUCUCAUUUGA